rnacentral:rRNA from 1 species
GACGAACGCUGGCGGCGUGCUUAACACAUGCAAGUCGAACGGAAAGGCCCUGCUUUUGUGGGGUUCUCGUGUGUGGAACGCGGGAGUAUAACGUGAGUAUCCUGUCCCUGUCUUUGUGGUAUCAUCACGGGACAGGGGCUAUUAUCCGAGAGGAGCUCCUGCUGCAUGGUGGGGGUUGGUGAGUUUCGGCGGUUGGGGAUGGAAUCGCGGCUUAUCGGCUUGUUGGGGGGGUAGGGGCGUACCAAGGCUUUGAAGGGUAGCCGGCCUGGGAGGGUGACCGGGGACAAUGGGACUGAGGUACGGCCCAGACUGCUACGGGAGGCAGCGGUGGGGAAUAUUGCGCAGUGGGCGGAAGCGUGAUGUGGCGGCGCCGCGUGCGGGAUGCCUGCCUUCGGGUUGUAAACCGCUUUGUCCUUUGACGAGGCGGGAGUGACGGUAAUGGGUAAAGAAGCACCGGCUAACUACGUG